rnacentral:rRNA from 1 species
AUCCUACGGGGGGCAGCAGUGAGGAAUAUUGGUCAAUGGGCGAGAGCCUGAACCAGCCAAGUCGCGUGAAGGAUGACGGCCCUAUGGGUUGUAAACUUCUUUUGUCAGGGAGCAAUUGGGUCCACGUGUGGGCUUAGCGAGAGUACCUGAAGAAAAAGCAUCGGCUAACUCCGUGCCAGCAGCCGCGGUAAUACGGAGGAUGCGAGCGUUAUCCGGAUUUAUUGGGUUUAAAGGGUGCGUAGGCGGAAUAUCAAGUCAGCGGUAAAAAUUCGGGGCUCAACCCCGGCGUGCCGUUGAAACUGAUG